rnacentral:ncRNA from 1 species
UAAAAUGCUAUGAAAGAGAGAGUAGACGGACGUACCUUUUCAGGGAACACAGGCCACGGACUGCAAGCCUUUGUAUGGGAAGCCGUUGAAGUUCACUCUGAAGCUGAGAGGUUGAAAUUGAAGUAGGCCUCCCCGGUUUUUGCCGUUAUAAAUUUCGAGGGUUUGUGAAACUAAAAAAGGGUGGUACCACGGAAGAAGGCUUUCGUCCCUAGU